GUCCUGCGAUGAGCUGGAGGAGGACUGGCUCAGGUAAGGCCCUUCUCUUCCGGAGCCCCCUUAGCAGUCUGGUUAUCACCCUGGUGACAGGCCAGGUUUGGGGUUGUUGGCUUGGAAACUGGGGUCAUGGUGUCAUCUCAUUUUUCCCCUUCAGGUCCCGAGACAGUGUGGAGGGUUGUGUUUUCCUUUGGUGCCCUUUUAUAAAACAGAAGUGCAGGGCUCUGUUUGGAUGUAACCAUGUCUGUCUCUCUCCCACCCUUCUCCCUGUAGUGGCUCUUCUGCCAAGAGACACUCAAGAAAGGCUUUCUGAGAAAUAAAACACGAGUGUAGAGG
rnacentral:lncRNA from 1 species